UGAAUCUCAAAUUCCCAAAUACAUCAAACAUUUCAGUCAAGUCGUAUGAUUGCAAAUGGGUCUCUUAAAAAACUUCAAGAAAUUGAAUCUUCGAAUUUUUUGACAAGCAAAAACGAGGAAAAAUUAAGCAAGCAAGAUCAAAACUUACAAAUGAAGAUGAAAAUCUAGUUUGCAGAAUCUUGGUUAGCAGCUGUUGUCAUGAAAACCAUCCAGCUGCUAAGAUUUUCACUUUCAGUCCAUCUUUCACUCACAAAUUGAACUCUCCAACUCCGUUCUCUCUUCAUCCGUGAUGGGUCAUCUGCAUUUUCUCCGUCAAGUACCGUGUUGUGUGAUAAACUGUAAAAGUACUCGAAGUGAAAAGCUUUCUCUCUCUAUAUAUGUACAGUUUAUACACACUUUUUUCCUUCCUAUAUACACACACACACAAAUUUUUCUGUGGGCUGAGGGAUAAAAAUACAAUUGUGCUGUGUGUACAGUGGGUUGAUAAUUUCGAUUGAUAAUUAGAUACACGUGGGG
rnacentral:lncRNA from 1 species